GGUUUCCGUAGGUGAACCUGCGGAAGGAUCAUUGUCGAAACCUGCCUAGCAGAACGACCCGUGAACAUGUUUCAACGCUCGGGGACGGGGGGCCUCACGGCUCCUCGCCCCUAUCCCGAGAGGUGAACGUCUUGCUUCUGCCUGACGUGACCCUUCCGGGCGUACCGAACACCGGCGUGUAUUGCGCCAAGGAACUUGAAUGAAAGAGCGUUCCCCCGCCGUCCCGGAGACGGUGUAUGUGCGGGCGGUCCGUCAUCUUCAGUAUGUCUAAACGACUCUCGGCAACGGAUAUCUCGGCUCUCGCAUCGAUGAAGAACGUAGCGAAAUGCGAUACUUGGUGUGAAUUGCAGAAUCCCGUGAACCAUCGAGUCUUUGAACGCAAGUUGCGCCCGAAGCCAUUAGGCCGAGGGCACGUCUGCCUGGGCGUCACACGUCGUUGCCCCCCCCAUCCCCUCCGGGGGAAGGACGGGGCGGAUGAUGGCCCUCCCGUGUGCACCGUCACGCGGUUGGCCCAAAUACCAAGUCCUCGGCGACCUGCGCCGCGACAAUCGGUGGUUGUCAAACCUCGGUGUCCUGUCGCGCGCGCGGUUCGAUCGUGGGGCUUCCUUACAUGUUCGCGUCGUUCACCCGACGCUUUCAACGCGACCCCAGGUCAGGCGGGGUUACCCGCUGAAUUUAAGCAUAUCAAUAAGCGG
rnacentral:rRNA from 1 species